rnacentral:lncRNA from 1 species
AUGUUUCUUUUUCUCUGUCUCUUUCACUCCCUUUCUCUCUUUCUCUGUGUGUGUCUGUUUCUUUUUCUCUCUGUGUCUGUCUCUGUCUAUAUUUGUUUCUUUUUCUCUUUGUCUCUCUCUGUGUCUCUGUCUCUUUUUAUAUAUAGUUUCUUUUUCUCUUUGUCUCUCUCUGUGUCUCUGUCUCUUUGUCUUCCUCUGUCUCUUUCUCUGUGUGUCUCUUUCUCUGUCUCUCUCUGUGCCUCUCUUUCUCUAUAUAUAUGUUGCCUCUGUGUGUCUCUCACUUUCUCUCUAUCUCUAUAUCUGUUUCUCUUUCUUUCACUCUGUCUGUCUCUUUGUCUCUCUCUCCUUUUCUCUCCUUUGCCUCCAGAAGUAGUCUUCUUUGUAACUCCCGAGGACUCUGUAAGUUUCUCGAGGGCCAGUACUGUUUCAUUUUUGCACUGGUCUCUCCAGUUCUGACCAUAGUAUUUAGCACAUAGUAGGCGCUAAGUAAGCGAUUGAUGAUUAUUUAUGUUGUGUUUAAUUGGUAUAUAUAUUUUCUUCUGUUUACAUUAUUUAUAUUAUCAUACUUCCCCCCAACAGAAUGUAAGGUCUUUGAGGGCAGAGAUAACUUUGUUUUUACCUUUGCAUUUCGAGAGUCUAACAUAGAGCUUAACAUAUAGUAGGGCCACAGGAAAUACUAGAAGAUUGAUGAAGUUUUUCUUCUUUUCCUCUUCUAAUUUAAACCCUCACCUUCCAUCUUAGAAUUCAUAUUGUGUUUAGUCCCAAGACAGAACAAUGGUAAGAGCUAGGCAAUGGGAGUUAAGUGACUUGCCCAGGGUGACACAGCUAGAAGGUGUCUUAGGCCAAAUUUGAACCCAGGGCUCUAAACCUGGCUCUCCAUUCACUGAGCCACCCCGCUGUCCCCCGUGUCCUACUUUCUAAAGUGUGUAUUCAGGAACCUCUUGUCUCAACUACGAAAAUCAAAAGAGGAAGGAGCAAAGUCCUCAAGAAUUAGUUCCCUAAAUGCCAGGAUAUUUUGGGACUCUGGAACAGGUUUGCUGGCCAAAGCAUGAAAUUUCAUUAAUCUUUAUGAAAACCCUUGAAGCCUCUUCACCACGCAAAUGGCUCAGUGCGCUGGGCUGGGAGGCCCAAAUAUUCUCGCCGGGUUCCAGCGAUUGAGUAAGACAGACGUGUUUACGAUUCGGGGAUUAGGGUGGCUGUAAUUCUGGCUGGGAUUUUGAUUCAGGGAGUUAUUGGGGGGGGGGGGGGGAGAGAAAGAAAAC